rnacentral:lncRNA from 1 species
UCCUCAUACGAAGUCAGAUUUGGGCGUUCUAUAUAUAUUCGGAAACCUCGUUUCAACUACUACAACAUUAACCAAAGAUAUUAAGUUUAUUUUACACUUAAAUUUUGACGCUUAUUUUUAUUCUUAAUUAAUCAAACCACAUAAUUAAGCAAUUAAGCACAAAACACAUAAUACUCAAAUAAUACAAUCUUAUUAUUUCAAAACGGGUUACAAAGGUUAACCUAGACUAUUACAUUGCUAAAAAUGGCAAGCCCGGAAACACAGGCGUUACAAUUCUCUCCACCUUAGAAUGAUUCCGUCCCCGGAAUCACACAUCAACAAACAAAUGCGGAUAGCGACUCAACAUGUCACUCUCCGUCUCCCAGGUGAGAUUCGGCCCAUUCGUGUGUUUCCAUCGGACAAGCACUAACCCAACCAUUUUGCGUCGCAACUUCUUAGUCUUUCGGUCAACAAUUGCCUCUGGUUCUUCAAUCAACCUUUUGUUCUCAUCAAUUCUCAAUUCAGAAAUUGGAAUUAUAUCGGGAACUUCUCCCGUGAACUUCCUCAAAUAACACACAUGAAAGGUGUUGUGAAUUCCAUUCAGUUCUUCGGGUAAUUCGAGCUUGUAAGCUUGAUUCCCAAUCCUCUGAAGGACUUUAAACGGUCCAAUAAACCUUGGACUCAACUUUCCCCUUUUACCAAAUCUUAUAAGUCCCUUCCACGGCGAGACUUUAAGCAAAACCGAAUCUCCAACCUCAAAAGUCAUCGGUCUUCGCUUCUUGUCAGCAUAGCUCUUUUGACGAUCUUGAGCUGCUAACAUUCUUUCCCUAAUUAUUUUCAACUUUUCAGCAGUUUGAUGAACCAUCUCCGGUCCCAUAAACUGCUUUUCCCCAGCCUCAAGCCAACAAGACGGCGUACGACACUUCUGUCCAUACAAAGCUUGAUAAGGUGCCAUCUUAAUGCUCGAGUGAAAACUAUUAUUAUAGGAAAAUUCUACCAACGGUAAAUGUUCAUCCCAAUUACCUAGGAAUUCCAAGGUACAUGCUCUCAGCAUAUCUUCAAGUGUUUGUAUUGUUCUUUCACUCUGACCAUCAGUCUGCGGAUGGUAAGCUGUGCUUAAACAUAACUUGGUACCCAUUUCCUCUUGUAGACUUUUCCAAAACCUUGAGGUGAAACGGCUAUCACGAUCCGAUACAAUCGUUAACGGAACACCGUGAAGCCUCACAAUUUCCUUCACGUAAGAAUUCGCAAGCUUUUCCAUAGACCAUUUCUCCCUGGCCGCUAUGAAAUGCGCACUCUUAGUGAAUCGAUCAACGACCACCCAAAUCAUGUCGUGACCAUUCUUUGUUCUGGGCAGUUUAGUGACAAAAUCCAUAGCAAUGUCUUCCCACUUACCCAUAGGCACAGGCAAUGGUUCUAAACUCCCGUAAGGUUUCUGAUGUUGUGUCUUGACUCUCGCACAAGUCACACACUCGGCCACAUACUUUGCAACAUCAAGCUUCAUCGUCGGCCACCAGUAGUAGGGUUUCAGGUCCCUAUACAUUUUAGUGCUACCCGGAUGAAUUGAGUACAUGGUUUUGUGAGCUUCUUCCAUCAGAAGAUCCCUAAUUCCUCCUGACUUAGGUACCCAAAUACGAUCUUGGAAUACCUUCAGUCCAUGACCGUUAGUACCAAACACCAACGUUUUACCCAAACGUUCCUCCUUUCGGUCAUUUUUCUCAGAAGCUUCCUCUUGAGCUUUCUUUAUACUUUCCACAAUAGUCGAGACAACUUCAAUUCUCAACGCUCUUGGCCUCUUCCUUUCAAGAUUGACUUUCCGACUGAGAGCAUCAGCAACAACAUUAGCUUUACCGGGGUGGUAAAGUAUCUCGCAGUCGUAGUCUUUAAGUAAUUCUAGCCAGCGUCGUUGCCUCAUAUUCAAUUCUUUCUGAUUAAAGAGGUAUUGGAGACUCUUAUGAUCAGUGAAAAGUUUGCACUUCGUGCCAUAGAGGUAAUGCCUCCAUAUUUUCAGAGCGAAAACUACCGCUGCCAACUCCAAAUCAUGAGUCGGGUAAUUCUUUUCAUGCUCUUUCAGCUGUCGAGACGCAUAUGCUAUCACCUUUUCUCUUUGGGUCAAAACACAACCCAAUCCAACACCAGACGCAUCGCUAUAAACAGCGAAGUCUUCAACUCCAUCGGGUAGAGAAAGUAUCGGUGCCUCGCAUAGCUUCUUCUUUAACUUCUCGAAUGCUUCUUUAUGCUUCUCACUCCAAGCAUAAGUAGCUCCUUUGUGGGUCAAAGCUGUUAAUGGAGUAGCAAUCGAAGAAAAGCCUUGGAUAAACCUUCGGUAAUAUCCGGCUAAUCCUAAAAAGCUUCGAAUCUCCGUGGGACUUUUCGGUUGUUCCCACUUCGUCACAGCUUCGAUCUUCGCUGGAUCAACCAUUAUCCCUUCUUGGUUGACCACGUGACCCAAGAAUUGGACCUCACGAAUCCAAAAAUCACAUUUGGAGAACUUCGCAUAAAGCUUCUCCUUCUUCAAAACUUCUAACACUUCUCGCAAGUGUCUGCCAUGCUCCUCCUGGCUUUUCGAGUAGAUCAGAAUGUCGUCUAUGAACACUAUCACGGAUUUAUCAAGGAAAGGAUUACAAACCCUAUUCAUCAAAUCCAUGAACGCUGCUGGAGCAUUGGUUAGUCCAAACGACAUAACCAAGAACUCGUAGUGUCCAUAUCUAGUUCUGAAUGCAGUCUUCUCGAUAUCUUGCUCUCUUACUUUCAGCUGAUGAUAUCCUGACCUAAGAUCGAUCUUCGAGAAAUAGCUCGAACCUUGCAAUUGAUCAAACAGGUCAUCAAUCCUCGGCAACGGAUAUCUAUUCUUUAUUGUUGCCUUGUUCAGCUCUCUGUAAUCGAUGCACAUUCUCAUACUUCCAUCUUUCUUCUUUACAAAUAACACCGGAGCUCCCCAGGGCGAUGAACUAGGUCUAAUGAAACCUUUGUCCAAUAACUCCUGAAGUUGCAUCAUCAGCUCCUUCAUCUCCGUCGGUGCUAAUCGAUAAGGUGCUUUUGCUAUUGGCGUGGUUCCUGGUAACAAGUCUAUUCUGAACUCCACUUGUCUAUCAGGUGGUAAUCCAGGAAGAUCCUCGGGAAAUACUUCCGGAUAAUCACACACCACUGGAAUGCUCUGCAUCACCUUCUUUUCUUUCUUAGCAUCAAUCACGAAUGCUAAAUAUGAUGUACAUCCCUUGGUCAAACACUUUCUGGCUUUCAUUAGAGAAAUGAUUCCAGAAUUCACUCUGCGUUUGUCCCCAUACACCAUAAACGAAUCUUUCCCAGGCGGGUUUACUUUAACUAUCUUCUUCUUGCACAAAAUUUCGGCAUCAUUGGCGCUAAGCCAAUCCAUUCCCAAGACGAUGUCGAAACCAUUUAGUUCGAUAGGCAAUAAUUCCUCGAGAAACUUAUUCCCAUUAAGGUCGAUCAAGACGUUUUUCAUACGAUGGCUAACAGGUACAAACUUGCCACUAGCUACUUCGACUAAUAAAGCAUUAUCUAGUCUAUCAACAGGCAAAGCUAGCUUUCUACCAAACUCAUGCGAAAUAAAGGAGUAGUUGGCUCCAGAAUCAAACAAUAUAUGAGCAGGUAAUUCGUUUACGAGAAAGGUACCUGAAGCGACAUCAGCUUCAUCUUUCGCAGCCUCAAGUGUCAUCUGGAAGGCUCUCGCCUUCGGCUUUGGUGGAAUGUUGGGCCUAGCUGCCUCCUUCUUCUUCGGACAGUCUUUCAAAAUAUGCCCCUCUUCAUUACACCCAAAACACAUCCUUUUGUUGUUCGGACAUUCAUUGGCAAAAUGUCCAACCUUUCCACACUUGUAGCAGGUCACAUCCUCGCUACAUUUCCCAAAGUGCUUUUUCUUACACUUAUCACACCACUUUGCUUCGCCUCCUUUUCCUCCAAACUUUUUCGAAUCAGAUUUCGAAAAUUUGCUCUUCUUACUGGAACCAGAUGUUCCUUCAAACUUCCUUUUCUCACCAACCUCAACCUUGACGGUGGUUCUCCCCUUGAUCAUGUUCUCCACAGACUUGGCAGCCCAGAUAGCUGCCUCUAGAGUAAGUGCCUGACGUACCGGCACCUCGUACUCCCAUGGAAGUCCCUUCGCAUACCGAUCCACCUUUGUCAGCUCGUCUGGAACGAUACGCAAGGCAAACUCCAUCUUAUCGGUGAAGUUAUUGGUGUACUCAUCCACUGACAUGCUACCCUUCGUCAAUGUCAAAAACUUGUUCUCCAACUCCAACAGAUUUUGAGCCGAGCAGAACUUGCGCUUGAACUGCACCAAGAACUCUGCCCAUGACAAUUGCAGUGGCUCAUUAGGGCUUAAGGUCUUCCCUAGAGUGUUCCACCAACGAACGGCUCCACCUCGGAAUUGUCGCACGGCAUAGAUAGUCUGCAACUUGCCUCUACAGCCACAUGUCAUAAAGGCUAACUCCAUUUCGGAGAUCCAAUCCAUAACCCCAAUCGGAUCCUCCUUUCCAUUGAAGGUCGAUGGUUUACAAGUCAAAAAGUCCUUGUACUUGCAUCCCAUUCCAUCAUUCCUUCCAUCAUGGUUAUCUUGCCUAACUAUCGGUGGGUUGGCUGGACCAACAGACCCACUGAAGUUUCCACCUUCCGAGUGCCCUUCAUUCAGUUCAGGCUCUUCCACACGAAUCGACAGUUCUUCACGAUUUUGUUGAAGCAACCGUCUAGUUUCAUCCAUCUGACGAUCCAACAUCGUCUGAAUCAUCAAUUGCACACCAGCCAUGGUUAUUGGCUCAGGUGCUGCUGCUACGACAGGUAUUGGCUCAAUCACUGGUGGUUGAUUCCUGUUUUCGUCAGCAUUUCCAACUCCACUUCUUGUUCUCACCAUUUUGAUCUACACCGAAUAAGGUGAAAUUAGAUCCUCAAUCAUGAUAGAUAUUCAAAUCAUCCUUAUCACUCCGAAACGUUUACAUGCUAGUUCUAAUAUCGUAGACGUACGCUUAGAAUCCUACACACAUAAGGUUUCUAGAUCCGGUCGGCAACAGACCAUAGAUCCGAACAAAUAAUAUCAUAUAUGGCAACAUAUAACAUUUAGCACAUAAAGCAUUUUAGGCAACUUUCCUAAAAUAAACUAGUGCUCGUGUCUAAAUCACAACAGACACACAUCUCAAAACUUCACUUAGCAUUCUAAGUUUAAGUCUAGAAAUCCUACAAAUUCCUAGUUCGCUUAAACUAAUGCUCUGAUACCAACUGUGACAUCCCCAAAAUCUCGGCCAGAAAAGACCGAUUUUCAUUUAUGCUUUUAAAUAUUUUCAGAGUAAAUCCUUUUGAUUUGAAAGAGUUGCGGAAUUUGUUCCCAAAAACAAAACAUGAUAAAACAUUGUUUACCGAAGCAUUUCAUAAAAGAAAUGUAUUUUCAUUAUAAUCAAAACUCGGGGUGUCAUGUUCCGAUACAGACCAAUAAGCAUAAACGAAUACAUUACAAGUCAUAUAACAAAUAUAAACAUAUGCAGACUUGUAAACAAAACAACUUGAUGGUUCAUCCAUCUCAUGCCCUUCCGCCACUACCUGUAAUACAAUUUAAAACUGAGUGGGUCAGGCUUGGGAGCCUGGUGAGCAUAUAGGGUUUUCAACCCACAAUAAAUAUCAUAUUUAAUUUUCACCAACCAACAAUAACCCAAUUACCCAUUCCCGUUAUUCUCACUUUAAUGUCCCUAAAACAACUAACAUAAGGGACCUAGUCUAAGAAUAUUUCAUCGGGGCGACAACACAUGCUUCGGGGGUACCUCAGCAAUAUAAGUCAAAUAAGGCAACCAUGAGGGGGAUGGAGUACAGCGAAUGAACACCCAAGUUCAUUAACACCUACAGGUGGCGAACCUGCUAAUGUUUCCACAAGACUGUCUAGAAUAGCCAGUGGUCGUCAUCUAAACUCCGCUAGAUGACUCAAUCAAACAACAACGAGGCCUCUCAUCUGUUUAUUACACACCAACUGUCUACCCAUGUUCUACCCAACAUAUUAGUAGAUAAAAAUAUACAUUUGUAUACAUAGUUUAAAGAAAACCUGUAUAGCAUGCUUUAAUCAACACAUAUAUCACAUAACAGAUGAGGCACACACACACAUAACACAUAUCUCAUAAAGAAAUAAGCAGAUCUAUAAGAUAGAAGAGAGUGAAUACUCAUUCACACAUAACACAACCAAAUAUAUACACAUAGCACGUAUUUUUAUAUAAAAUACUUCGUAUUAUUGUAUUAGAAGAAAUAACUACACACUCACUUGAUCAGAAGACGAUCCGACAGCACUACGGCUUAUAGAAGUAGUAAUCCACAGCAGAUCUGGAAGAUCUCCUCGAAAAUCGAACUUCUCGCGGGCAGAGCUUCGACUCGGGAACCGCGCUUCUCGGGAUCUUCGGGAUCUCGGGACUUGCCUCGGGGCUAGAGUAUGAUACCGGGGCUUCGGGGUAGCUUCGGGGGUAAAAAUGCAGAGCUUCGACACGAAAAUGAGAGGGAAUUGGCAAAAAUACCCGGAACCCUCGCAUCCUAUUUAUAGGAGGCUGGAGCCUCGGAGUACGCGGGGCGUACUGCGUUACGCGGGGCGUACUGCCCAAAACGUCAUUGCUUACGUAUCCGAAGUGCUCGAGUGCGAGUGUCGACAUCCCUCGGAGUACGCGGGGCGUACUCGAGUACGCGGGGCGUACCUCGGAUCAGAUCGGUGACUCCUUCGGAUAAUGCUUCCGAAUUUUGAUUUAAAUAUAAAUACAAAAUGAUUAAUAAACUUCGGAAAUUCAUAACUUCUUCAUACGAACUCCGUUUUCGACGUUCUUUAUAUCCACGGAAAGGUGAGACCAUGCUCUACGACUUUCGUUUAGACUCCGUCGGCUAAUUUUGACUUUAUUUUUAUUAAUUAUUUUUAAUAGGCCGCGACAGAAACUUUCGUUAUAAAUUCAUAACUUCUUCGUUUGACGUCCGUUCUCGCCUAACUUUUUAUCGCUUCGAUACCAACAAUGAGAUCUUCGAUUCUCAUUUAGAUUGCUUCGGCUAACAACCGCUCGAUCUCAAUUCGAGUAUUUCAGGCUGUAUACCGCUAAGCCGGAACUUCGAUAAAUCAUAACUUCCUCAUACGAAGUCAGAUUUGGGCGUUCUAUAUAUAUUCGGAAACCUCGUUUCGACUACUACAACAUUAACCAAAGAUAUUAAGUUUAUUUUACAAAUUUUUUUUGACGCUUAUUUUUAUUCUUAAUUAAUCAGACCACAUAAUUAAGCAAUUAAGCACAAAACACAUAAUACUCAAAUAAUACAAUCUUAUUAUUUCAAAACGGGUUACAAAGGUUAACCUAGACUAUUAUAUUGCUAAUAACGGCAAGCCCGGAAACACAGGCGUUACAAUUCUCUCCACCUUAGAAUGAUUCCGUCCCCGGAAUCACACAUCAACAAACAAAUGCGGAUAGCGACCCAUCAUGUCACUCUCCGUCUCCCAGGUGAGAUUCGGCCCAUUCGUGUGUUUCCAUCGGACAAGCACUAACCCANCAGAAAGGUCUACCCUUUUGUUGGAGUGAUAAACAAGAAACCGCAUUCCAGACACUGAAGAAAGCUUUGUGCAGCGCGCCUGUUCUGUCCCUACCCGAGGGGACAGAGGAUUUCGUUAUCUACUGUGAUGCAUCUAAUCAAGGUUUAGGCUGUGUGCUUAUGCAAAGAGGAAAAGUAAUUGCCUAUGCUUCUA